UACGUAGGGUGCGAGCGUUAAUCGGAAUUACUGGGCGUAAAGUGUGCGCAGGUGGCCGCGCAAGUCGAGUGUGAAAUCCCCCGAGCUUAACUUGGGAAUUGCGCUCGAAACUACGUGGCUAGAGUGUGGCAGAGGGAGGUGGAAUUCCACGUGUAGCGGUGAAAUGCGCAGAUAUCAGGAGGAACACCGAUGGCGAAGGCAGGUCUCUGGGCCGAUACUGACGCUGAGGAGCGAAAGCGUGGGGAGCGAACAGG
rnacentral:rRNA from 1 species